UGGCGGCAGGCCUAACACAUGCAAGUCGAGCGGUAGCACAGAGAGCUUGCUCUCGGGUGACGAGCGGCGGACGGGUGAGUAAUGUCUGGGAAACUGCCUGAUGGAGGGGGAUAACUACUGGAAACGGUAGCUAAUACCGCAUAACGUCGCAAGACCAAAGUGGGGGACCUUCGGGCCUCAUGCCAUCAGAUGUGCCCAGAUGGGAUUAGCUAGUAGGUGGGGUAACGGCUCACCUAGGCGACGAUCCCUAGCUGGUCUGAGAGGAUGACCAGCCACACUGGAACUGAGACACGGUCCAGACUCCUACGGGAGGCAGCAGUGGGGAAUAUUGCACAAUGGGCGCAAGCCUGAUGCAGCCAUGCCGCGUGUGUGAAGAAGGCCUUCGGGUUGUAAAGCACUUUCAGCGGGGAGGAAGGCGGUGAGGUUAAUAACCUCAUCGAUUGACGUUACCCGCAGAAGAAGCACCGGCUAACUCCGUGCCAGCAGCCGCGGUAAUACGGAGGGUGCAAGCGUUAAUCGGAAUUACUGGGCGUAAAGCGCACGCAGGCGGUCUGUCAAGUCGGAUGUGAAAUCCCCGGGCUCAACCUGGGAACUGCAUUCGAAACUGGCAGGCUAGAGUCUUGUAGAGGGGGGUAGAAUUCCAGGUGUAGCGGUGAAAUGCGUAGAGAUCUGGAGGAAUACCGGUGGCGAAGGCGGCCCCCUGGACAAAGACUGACGCUCAGGUGCGAAAGCGUGGGGAGCAAACAGGAUUAGAUACCCUGGUAGUCCACGCCGUAAACGAUGUCGAUUUGGAGGUUGUGCCCUUGAGGCGUGGCUUCCGGAGCUAACGCGUUAAAUCGACCGCCUGGGGAGUACGGCCGCAAGGUUAAAACUCAAAUGAAUUGACGGGGGCCCGCACAAGCGGUGGAGCAUGUGGUUUAAUUCGAUGCAACGCGAAGAACCUUACCUGGUCUUGACAUCCACAGAACUUUCCAGAGAUGGAUUGGUGCCUUCGGGAACUGUGAGACAGGUGCUGCAUGGCUGUCGUCAGCUCGUGUUGUGAAAUGUUGGGUUAAGUCCCGCAACGAGCGCAACCCUUAUCCUUUGUUGCCAGCGGUCCGGCCGGGAACUCAAAGGAGACUGCCAGUGAUAAACUGGAGGAAGGUGGGGAUGACGUCAAGUCAUCAUGGCCCUUACGACCAGGGCUACACACGUGCUACAAUGGCAUAUACAAAGAGAAGCGACCUCGCGAGAGCAAGCGGACCUCAUAAAGUAUGUCGUAGUCCGGAUUGGAGUCUGCAACUCGACUCCAUGAAGUCGGAAUCGCUAGUAAUCGUAGAUCAGAAUGCUACGGUGAAUACGUUCCCGGGCCUUGUACACACCGCCCGUCACACCAUGGGAGUGGGUUGCAAAAGAAGUAGGUAGCUUAACCUUCGGGAGGGCGCUUACCACUUUGUGAUUCAUGACUGGGGUGAAGUCGUAACAAGGUAACCGUAGGGGAACCUGCGGUUG
rnacentral:rRNA from 1 species